GUGGAAGGACUCGAUGUGUCCCAGUGUUUUAGAAGAGUUUAUCAUCUGUUGACCUUCUCGGCCACAAAAGCCACAAAAGCCACAAAAGCCACCGCCGACUAAAAGGACAGGAAAUAAGUGGAGGGAAAAGUGGACCAAUAUUGAGACGUUAAAGGGACAGUCAGUGCCACCUGCUGCUGAGAGCCAGCAUACUACUUCCUGUUGGAAUCAUUUGUGGCAUUUUAAAGCCGACACCGGGACAGAAGACCGGCCCCUGCGUCAAUAGUGGACAGGUCAGAGGUCAGCAGUGAUGGCUGCUCGCCGAGCGCUUCAUCAGCCGCUGCGUUGAUGGAGUGACGACAAAUUGCCGCCAUCUGGACUCAAAGCGGGGACUUUUUGGUUUCACGUACGUUACACUCCAAACAAGUGUCUCCUUCCCCCCCCGCCCUGUGUUAUUAUUCAUUUGUUGCUCUGUUGUAGUGGAGCCUGAAAUGUGGAGCAGCAGCAGUUUCUAUAAUAGAAAACAUUAAAAGUGUA